AUCGGGAUAUCUCACAUUUGCCGAUUGACCACAUAAACCUUGUGUGAUUGAAGCCGAUAGCGUCUUCCUGCUUUGCUCUUUAUGAACUAUCCGAUUACAACAGGUCAGUCACGUAACUUCAUUGACCCCAGACAGCGACCAUAGCUCCGUUACGCAAUGAACGCGACAGUGACAGAGUGACUUCUCGCAGCUAAAACAAGCUAGCCUAGCAAGCUAAGUUAGCGCAGGGGCUAAGUUAGACAACUUCGGGUCUGUCCGCUGAGAACAGCUCGACCGAAGUGGACUGUGUCAGCGUUUUCAGCAGCUCGGAUAUCUCUUAGCUUCUUUUUGAAUAGUCUGUAACGUUUCCUCAAAUGGCUUUGGUAACGGCGCUACGAAGACUGGCUCACGUAAGGUUACGAGAAUAUUCGUGGAGGACGGCGGCAGUAACUUCCACUGCCUGGCUGACUGGUCAGAGGAGUUUCACCACCGGCACACAGCCUCUGAGGGCAGACAACAAGGUGACGGUCCACUUCAUCAACAGAGAUGGGGAGAAGAUCACAGUGAAGGGGUCGCCUGGAGACUCACUGCUAGAUCUUGUCAUCAAUGAAGACCUCGACUUUGAUGGCUUUGGGGCGUGUGAGGGAACCCUGGCGUGCUCCACAUGCCAUCUGAUCUUUGACGAGGACGUCUACAAGACUCUGGGGCCCGUCACAGAUGAGGAGAUGGACAUGCUAGACUUAGCCUAUGGCUUGACUGACACAUCUCGACUGGGUUGCCAGAUCUGCCUGACGAAGUCUCUGGAGGGCAUGGUGGCCAGGGUUCCAGAGAGUGUAGCAGACAUCCGACAGAGCAAAGACGGAUCAUCUUAACCUGCGGCGGGGAAACGUGAAUGUACACAGUGUGGUUGUGCCUGGUCAGAACUGAGGGAUGGUCUGUCUUGGAUGGAUUCCCUGAUCUUCCCACGGCUGUUCACAGGCUCUUAGUUGAUCAAUAGAUGCCUUGGCUGGUUUUGAUCUGGUGUUCGCCCCUCUUCCCCACAGCCACUGUAAGUAAUCCCUUAUACCUCUCCAUUCUUCUUUACCCAGGUCGUACCAGCAGAGAUCUUAAAGUGUUGGGUAAUUUGUGGAACGUUGUGUUCUGACAGUCCAGCAUUGUGAGGGAGCAUGGAGCAGGACAGGCCUUUAAACUUUUGGCAUCGAAAAAAAAAAAAAGUCAUUAAAUACAAAACCUAAACUGAUAAAGGAAAUGUAGACAUCUAAAUUUUUUUAUUCUAUUUUUAAUAUUUGAUGCCAAAAUUUAAAGGGAUAGUUCUGAUUUUUUUAUAGUGGGGUUGUACAAGUAACUUAACCACAGUCAGUGUAUUACAGUACCUACAGUAGAUGUCUGUUGGCACGCCCCCCAGUUUGGAGUGCUGACACGGAAGCUAAGCAUUGUACUGCUGUGGAGGGGUCAGCCGCAAAAUGUCUUUAGCAUCCCCCCCCCCCCCCAAAAAAACAGCUUAAGUUUACGCUAUAUUGAGAGUAUUUUUAGCGCUUUGUCUUUCUGAUCUGACAGGGAAGUUCCUCAUCUAUGUUUUUGUCAAAGCCACCAGACUUCAAAAAAAAAAAGAAUUUGCUCGCUGAACACCGGAGCUGCUGGGCAACUGCUGCCUCGAUCAAUUUUGUUUGUGUUACAGUGUUACUUUGGCAUUUGAAGGGUUAGUUUGGAUUCACCAAAGUGACACAGUAACGCAAACAAAACUGAUAUAGACAGCGAUUGACCAGCAGUUCCUGUGUCCAGCGAUGUUAAAUCACUGUUUCUCAGUGGAGUCUGGCUUUGAAGGGUGAUAUAACAGCUUCAGUUCCCUGUCGGAAAUCGCUGUUUGACACUAAGGUAAAGCAGCAAAAAUACUGUUAAUGUAGUGUACACUAAAACUGAUAGAUUUUUUUUCUAGCUGACCCUGUUGACACCACUACAUUGCUUAGCUUCCAUGUCAGACUCCAGCCUGCUUCUCCAAACUGAGAGCAAGUACCUCAAGUAUAAGUACCUCACACUACCCCACUUCAAAAGCUCCUAGCCAUCCCUUUAAAGUCACUGUCCUGGCUCCAUAAGGGAGUCCACUGGAUUGCCUCUAGUGGUCCCCGUUGUGAUAUUAGCAUCAUGGUCUUAAUGACGGGGGGAUUUUAAUCAUUACUCCCUCUGCUAAUAGCUUGGAGUGUCCCUGGACAUGCUGCACCUCCUCUGUGUCCUCCUCCCAGAUUAGAUACUCUGCUCUGUGCCUUAGGUUUUUACUACUAGUCUUGUGUUGGAAGAAGUGGUUUCAGUUUGAACUGAGAUAUUGAUUUAUGAGGGUGAGUUUCCUGUUCACACUUUAUCCCCUGCUUACUGCUUUGCUCCUGCUCACCAGUAACCUGUUGUGUGAGUUGGUACUAUUGAUGUGUCAGGUGCAGAUGUUGGAGCAGCAUUGUUUAGGGAAUAUAUUGUCCAAGUACAGAUGGUCAGGUAGGGCGGGGGCGUUAAAAUAUUUAGUGCAUAUGUUGGCCACAUGAGGGGAGAUGAGUGAGCUCAUGGCUGUGCCUUUAGUUGCGCCUUGACACAUCUCCAGCAGCUGGUUUCGUCUCUCGGCAGAGGUCUUAUGUAAGGUACUGGAAAUGGUACACUGACAUCUAAAAACAUCAGUGUAAGUGAGAGGACACUUCAAGUCUUUGAUCUUUUGGACUCCCUCACACUUAGACUGGCGUCUUUAGAUGUCAGUGUACCGUUUACUGUUAGCUAACACAGAGUAAGACCUCUGCUGAAGGAUAACUUAUCCUCCAACUGCCAGAGAUGUGUCCAGACACAACAUAUUACCUACACACACACUAAAGGUACAGCGAUGGCGUCACCCAUCUUUCCCAUUUGUAGCUAACCUGGAGUAUUUUGAACAGCUGCUUUGAUAACAGCACCCACCUGACACCUGCUACAAGGAUGACUGUAUUGUACUGAUCCAACAGCCACAGCAUUGAAGAAAUACUUCACCCACAAAAUUACCAUUUGUACAUAAAUUACUCACCACGUGUUAUCUUGAAUUCAUGAAGGAAACUUUGCUUUUCACCCAAGCCUCCAUGAUAAAAGGAGAAUUCAGAAAAGGUUAAUAUUAUUUAUGAAUGACUGUUUAACAAAAGCAAAACAUCUGUUUACAACUCAUACAGUAUAAUCCAGUCUGAGUUUGUUUACAGAUGUUUUGAUAUAGUUUUGCUGUUGUUCAAUGUGGACCAUCAUUACUUCAAAUAAUGAGAGAAUGUUGACCUUUUUUGGAUUCUCCGUUCACUGUGGAGGCAUGCAAGAAAAAGUUUCCUCAGGAAAUCAAGGUAACAUGGUGAGUAAUUUACAUACAAAUAGUCAUUUUGCUGGUGUAGCAUUCCUUUAACUCACAUCAGCCUAACCAGUGAGCAGGAACAAGACAGUACGCUGCUGUUCAUGUGAAGAUAAAGACCAGUGCACAGGAAACUCACCCUCAAGUUCAACUGUAACCACCACCGACAACACGGGAUAAGUGUUAGGACCUUCCUACACAGAGCAGAGUAUGUAGUCAGUUAGGACGCUGCAGCAUGUCAGACCUACAGGAAUGGAUGAUUAAAAUCCUGCCCUACCUUAUACCAAUGACAGACAGAACAGGGACUACAGGAGGUAUCCCAUGUGACCCCCUCUUAUGUGUCUAGACUGUAAGAACAUCUACCUGAGAUUUUUAAGUGACAGGUAAUCAGCACCUACCACAAACAAUUCAACACAUUACAGGUACAAUUCGGAUGUUUUCACAUUCAUAGUCAGUGUAUUACAUACAGUAGAUGUCAGUUGACACGCCCCCAGUUAGGAGAAGCAGGCUGGAGUCCAACACAUAUUCUAAGCAUAUACUGCUGUGGAUGGGUGGGCAGCAGCAAAAUGUAUUUUAGUCCCCUUUGUUGUUGUGAAACUCUUAAGAGUUUAGGUGUAUGCUAUGCUGAGAGUAUUUUAACAGCUUUACCUCACUGUCAGACAGCAAGGCCGUUAACAGCUGUAGUUCCCAAUCUAUGCUCUCGUCAAAGUCACCAGAUUACAUUGAGAAAAACAGCAAUUUUAGCUCACUGAACAUAGGAACUGCUGGCAUGACGUGGUUUUGCCAAGUAGGACAUGCCUCUGACAUCAUCAGUGUGCUGCUCCUGUGCUUCUCUCAAAUUCCUUUGUGCUACCUCAGAACUAAGCUAGUUUUUUAGCGAGUUAGCUUGCUAACUAGGUAGGCUAUGUUAACAAGUAAGCAUGACAAUAGGCUAAAAUAAUGUUAAUUAACGUAAAGAGUAAGGAUAAUGUCAUUUUUGCAGUUGCAAAGACCUGUGAAGGACACAUUUUCCCUCCCUCUUAAUUGCCAAAGCUAUCCUUUUGCAAGAUUGCAGUGCUGGUGUUGAUCCAGGGCCAUCAUUGCCACGUUGAUCCAGCACCAAUACUGCUAUGUUGAUGUCGACGUAAACAAAUCAUCCACAAAAAGGAGGGAAAAUGUGUUACUGCAGGAAUUUGCAACUGAAAAUGCUUUUAUCCUUACUCUUUGUUAGUGAACCGUUUACUUGUUAGCACAGCCUACCUAUUAGCAAGCUAGCUCGCUAAUAUUCUUGUCUAUUGGCAAGUUUACUUACUAGCAUAGCCAACCUAGUUAGCAAGCAAUCUCUCUGACCCUGCAGUUGUUUUCAAGGUUUUUGUUCAGUUUUACUUUUUAGUUGUACUAACUUCAAUUUGGAAAAGUAGCCUAGCUCUGAAGAAGCACAAAGGAAUUUUGAGAGAAGCACAGGAGCAGCACACUGAUGUCAAGAGAGUCAGAUGGUCCAGGAACGCAGUGUGGGAUGUUGAUCCAAGAACAUGUCCUACUUGGCAAAAUCACGUUGUGUGGGGCUGCUGGUCCAACGCUGUAUCGAUCAGUUUGUUAGUUUGUGUUAUUGUGUGACUUUGGUGAAUCCAAACCAACCUGUUAAAUGCCAAAAUCACUCAAUAACACAAAUAAAUAAACUGAUGGCAGUAGACCAGCAGCCCCUGUGUUCAGCAAUGUUUAAUCACUUUUCUCAAUGGAGUCUGGCUUUGAAGAGAAUGAUAUAAGGGCAUCAUUUUCCUGUCUGAAACUGCUGUCUGACAGUAAAGUAAAGCAGUGAAAACACUCUGUAUGGUUUACACUUAAACUACACUAAAAACAUCUUGUUGCUGACAUCCACCCCAUUGCUUAGCUAAUGUAUUUAAUACACUGACCAUGGUUCAGCUGGGGUCCGAAUUAUCCCUUUAAGAUAUCUGCUGGUACACCCUAACAAAGAAGAAUGAAGAGGUAUAUGACAUCAUUAUCACAUGGUUGAAACAGAAGGGAGCCCCGACGAUAGACUGAGUGAACACCAGGUCAAAACCCGUGACAACAUUUACUGGGCAGGGGUCAAAGGUCAUCAACCAAGAGCCAGUCAACAGCCAGAGAAAGAUCAAGGAGGCUAUCUGACACCAGUAACCACUCUCCAACCAAGACAAGCGCCAUGUUCUCCCCUACAUGUUACAUGAGUGAAAGUUUAUUGAGGAAGUACCUGCACCAUGACUACUCAUGCUAAAUCCAGCAUAAAGUGCUUUCACCAUUAAUACAAAAGCUGUUAUGUAACUUACUCCUUUGUUGCUUUAACACAAAUACUGUUUUAAUCUUCUAAUUAAUUGUUGUCACUUAUAAUCAACUGUUAUUUAUGAGAGCUCUUAAGUAAAUGUCAUUUAAACUUGUUACUUCCUGCAGAUGUUUCAAAUUAAAGGCUUUUUAUGAAUAGCACGUGGAACAUCUGUGCAGUAAGUGUCAUUUAAUUAGCAGUAGCUUAAAAGCACUUGAAAUGAAAUUAAUGCUGUGGUAAUGUACUUUAUGCUGAAUUUAUCAUGAUGACUGCGAAACAUGGACGUGCAGAGUUUGCAUAAAGCUACAGCUGGUAACUUUAUUUAAAAAACAAAAAACAAAUUGACAGUUAUGUUAGGGACUCCUUGACUCUGGUUGUUUUCAGUCACAUGCUGCAAUGCCAUUAGCAGCACUGAUUCAACAUGAUUCUUUCCACAGAUUAUCCUCCUCAUGUACUACUGCGUGGAUAUAGUUCAGCAAAUAUGACAUUUAAAGUACCAGCUGUAGCUUUAACAACCAGUUGAAAUGGUAAAUAAGAAAUAAAGGCCUGGUUCUCUCUGCAGCUGAGGUAUCUACUAUUUUUGCUUUGAAUGAAUAACAAUCUCACCUGCAGAUACGUGCAGUGU